GUGGAAAUAGCUCAGUUGGGAGAGUGUUAGAUCUAAUGGUCCCUGCUUCGAUCUCGGGUUUCAGCA